rnacentral:rRNA from 1 species
CAGCAAGAUACAAGUACCGUGAGGGAAAGUUGCAAAGCACUUUGAAGAGAGAGUUAAAGAGGACGUGAAACCGAUAAGAUGGAAACGGAUAGAGCUGACGUAUCUAACUUGUAUUCAGCUGCUCAGUGGUGGAGUGCUGGCUGCCUAAUCCUGCUAUUGGUUGGGUGGUAGGCUUCUUCUGCUAUUGAGUAGUGCAUUUGCAAGUUGAGUGCGCCGAGGCUUACGCCCUAGCGGUUGGAUCUCUGCUUUGUGGUCUCUUCCUCGGAAGAGUAACUCUGGUAGGGGGAAGACUGUUUGGGGUGUAUGAUGCUAUUUUGUACGGCUUACGAAUCGGCUGGCUGUCAGUCUUCUCGGGAGUUAUUGUCGCAUGCGACUUUGCUUCCUUGGGGGCUGAUUGUUGGUGCAGAUUCUCGUGCAUAUUCUCGGUGUAAAAGUCGGUCAUCUAUCCGACCCGUCUUGAAACACGGACCAAGGAGUUUAGCGAAUAUGCGAGUCAUUGAGUGUUUAAAACUCAAAGGCGUAAUGAAAGUAAAGGCAUCCUUACGGAGCUGAUAUGCGAUCAUUGGUAUUUCGGUAUUGAUGCGCAGCAUAGCCCCAUCCUAAUUGCUUGCAAUGGGGUGGAGGUAGAGCAUAUUUGCUGAGACCCGAAAGAUGGUGAACUAUGCCUGGGCAGGAUGAAGCCAGAGGAAACUCUGGUGGAAGUCCGAAGCGGUUCUGACGUGCAAAUCGAUC